AUACGGGGGGUGCAAGCGUUAAUCGGAAUUACUGGGCGUAAAGCGCGCGUAGGCGGUUUGCUCAGUCGGAUGUGAAAGCCCAGGGCUCAACCUUGGAACUGCAUACGAUACUGGCAAACUAGAGUGUGAGAGAGGAUAGUGGAAUUUCCGGUGUAGCGGUGAAAUGCGUAGAUAUCGGAAGGAACAUCAGUGGCGAAGGCGACUGUCUGGCUCAACACUGACGCUGAGGUGCGGAAGCGUGGGUAGCAAACAGGAUUAGAUACCCUAGUAGUCC
rnacentral:rRNA from 1 species